UCAACCCCGGAAUUGCAGUUGAUACUGGAUAUCUUGAGUACAGUUGAGGUAGGCGGAAUUCGUGGUGUAGCGGUGAAAUGCUUAGAUAUCACGAAGAACUCCGAUUGCGAAGGCAGCUUACUAAGCUGUAACUGACAUUGAGGCUCGAAAGUGUGGGUAUCAAACAGGAUUAGAUACCCUGGUAGUCCACACGGUAAACUAUGGAUACUCGCUGUAGGCGAUACACAGUCUGCGGCCAAGCGAAAGCAUUAAGUAUCCCACCUGGGGAGUACGCCGGCAACGGUGAAACUCAAAGGAAUUGACGGGGGCCCGCACAAGCGGAGGAACAUGUGGUUUAAUUCGAUGAUACGCGAGGAACCUUACCCGGGCUUAAAUUGCAACUGAAUAGCUGAGAGAUCAGUUAGCUAGCAAUAGCAGUUGUGAAGGUGCUGCAUGGUUGUCGUCAGCUCGUGCCGUGAGGUGUCGGCUUAAGUGCCAUAACGAGCGCAACCCUUGUCGAUAGUUACUAACAGAUAAUGCUGAGGACUCUAUCGAGACUGCCAUCGUAAGAUGUGAGGAAGGUGGGGAUGACGUCAAAUCAGCACGGCCCUUACGUCCGGGGCUACACACGUGUUACAAUGGAGGGUACAGAAGGCAGCUACACGGCGACGUGAUGCUAAUCCCGAAAACCUUUCUCAGUUCGGAUCGAAGUCUGCAACCCGACUUCGUGAAGCUGG
rnacentral:rRNA from 1 species